AGAAAAAGCAGCUUUUCAAUAUUCCGGGAAGCCGCACAUAUAUUCAUCGUGCAUGUAAUGACUUUCUCCAGUUGAACAGAAAAACAAAUCACCUGGAUCUCUUCUACCCAUCCUUCAUGCACCUGUGCUCACCAGAAGGUGUGAGCACGUGGAGGCCACCCACUGUCAUUGGGUUCUCCAUCUGAAUUGUGCAAAUGUCACAUGGAACCAAAAUUUAGGACUCCAGUGGGGCCAGCUAUGGUCGCAAAACAGAAGAUCACACCAAAGGACGUGAGGCUUCAUGUCCCUUGUGCCAUGUAUCCUUCCCUUCAGCUCCUUAUUUUGUAGUUCAGCUCAGUUAUUUCACUCUCGUGGCUCACCACAAGAGGAAAAUAACUGGAUGGGAUCUGGACUGGCCAUCUCCGCAUUCACAUCCUCUAAGUUUAUCUCAUCCUCCCUCAUACAGAUUCCUUUGGCCAGCUUGGGAGCAGCUUAAAAGAAAAUUAAGACAACAAAGAUGCAAUCGUGGAGUGACAUAUCAUAAUGAGACCUUUCAGUCUCUCCAAACUUUCCCAUUAACUUGCACCGAAUGCAGACUUCAGAAUUACAAAAGGAUCUUCUCUCGCAGCCCAUAAAUAGUCUGUGCUUAGAACAUACCACAUUGUCUCCAUCUUUUUGGCUUGUUCCCAAAGCAGCUUUUGGCGUGCUGCAGUUGAUGGGAAUGAUAUUGAAGGAAGAACAAAGUACAGUUUUUCCAAAGGAAAUAAUAAAUCUGCUAUGGGCUUUCAAAGCAAGCUCACAUAAUCAGCGAGCUUCUCUUUUUUCUUUUCUUGAGCAUGUAGGAAGAGCACAGAUGUUGCUUUGGACCAUUAGCAUCUCAGCUAUAAAGACACGCAAAGUAUUUCCCAAUGGCUUUUCCCUCCUUUUGUUUAUUAUUUUAUUAAGAUGAAAGCUUUUUUACCUUGUGUAUUAGAUAUACAGCCCCAAAACACCACAGUUCUGCCCAACUGCCUGUGUGUUAGCACAAACAAUUGUUGUUUCCCUCUGCAGAAUCAUUUUAUUUAUGAAUCAGCUUGUUAUCUCAUGUUUUAUCUCCUUAAUGUAUAAAUGGAAGAAAGAUAUCUAGCUGAAGAGGAGCUCCAUCUGCCAAACAAGGGUGGCAGGUCGGGUUGCUGGCAUGAGAUAACCAACCCAUCACAAUCCAAGAGAGAGAGCUGACAGCACAGAGCGAUUGGGUUCGUUUCCAGUUUUCCACCAGACUGUAAUGAAAUGCCACAAUGCAUCCAAGCAAACUUCUCAUUAGUCUCCCUAUUAGUUUUCACUCCAGUAAAUAAAUGGCUGGUGCUACUGGCAGUCAACAAUGGGCAAUGAGGGUCUCUUUCGUGGCUGUCACUUUUCUCUUUGCAAAAAAAGACAGUGCAUGGAGGGGAAAAAAAAACUACCCCCUUUUUACCCCACUAACUCUUUUUCUUUAGUCCUUUAUUUUGUGGUGCUGAGUUUUUAUGGCUGACAGGCCCAGAGGCGUGCUCUGUUGGUAGGGCUCCAAUGGGUGCCACCAGGAAUCUCCUCCUGGUGCCAACCCUGACAGCGAGGAACCACAGCACUCCAUGCUGGAAGGUCUGUGGUGGGCUGGAGGCUGGGGAAAGGAGGAGCACGUUGGGAAAACACACCCGUGUCCCCUGCGGGAAGUAUGAGGUUGUGUUGCCAUGUGUGAGAGCUUUGGUUGUUGCUCUUUGGUCAGAGCUUCUCUGCUGUGUUUUUUGAGCAAAUUGAACAUUUGUUUCCUCUUUAUUUUAUAUCUAAUUCAUGUUUUUUGUGACCUAACGCCUGGAAACAAGCUUUCUGGGUAUGCCUCUGUUUUGCUGUGGCACAGAAGCCUACGUUGGCUGAAUACUCUAGCCUCCUAUUAGCAGAUUCUUGCAGAUAUUGGGAUUUCCUCUGUUACUUCCCCCUGUUUUUUCCUUAAUCUCCUAUUUCCCCUUUCAACCCUUAUUUCUCCUCAUGGCCCUUGUCUUUGAAGCAGUACUGCUUCUUCCAUCCAACCCACCAUCGUGCCCACCUUUCUUUUCAGACCUGACCUCCUCCUUUCCCACAAUGUUCUCAUGUUUGUUUGAAGUAUUGUUUUUUUUCUCAUACCAGAGAGGUGUCAUAUUUGGUUCUAUUAAGUCAUGAUUUCUCCAAGAAAUGUCCGAUAGGAAUCCUAUUUGAGAGCUGCCAUUAAAAAUGAAUGGAUGCUGAGUUGGUGUGAAAUCCUCCUCUUUUUGAGAUUCCUUUGUGGUUUGGGGUGUCAGACUGAGUGCACUUGGAUCAAAUAACUGACCAGAUUUUUCUCUCUCCUCAAGCCAUAUGUAAACCAACUCACAUAGAGGACACGGGGCUGCCCAGUAUGCCCUGUUCUUUAUGAAAUGCUGUGAUCUAGUGGUGUGUUCCUGCUUUCACUGCUGGGAAAGUCGUUUCUAAGCGGUAGAGACCAGUGCACCUUAACUUCUUUUGUAGGUCUGGAAAAUAAGAUCUUUCUGAUAUCACAGAGCACCCCAACCAUUUAGGUUGCUCAUUCAGUCUUCUGGCUCUGAAUAGCUGCUUAACAUUAUUAAAUGUUGUUAAUUAUGUCACUAAUUGCAUGUGAAAUCAAAGACUGUUCGGGCAUGCAGGAACCUAAGCCUUAGGUUUUAAUACAGCUACAAAAUACCAAUAGCUCAGAAUAUGUCUCCAAGCUGUUGUCCUGGAAUCUUUUACUAAACAAGAUGAGCACAAUUAAACUUGCAUAGUAUUUGGAAAUAGAGCACUGUCAGUCUUGUUCCUGUGGUGCAAAGCUUAGUGCCCUCAUUGCUGAUCUUGAAUUUUUUCUCGCUGUGGCCUCCCCUUUUUCAGAACAUCAUUUUCCUUGGGGGGAAAGACAAACUCAUGAGUGUCUGCCAUGAACGGUAAUAACUAGGUGCAUGUUUUAGGGGAUUUACUGCUCUGAGACACAGAUGCAAAAUAGUUUAGCCUUGCUUCUAGAAUAGGUGAUGAUGGACGUGAAAUGUGAAGGCAGUAGAAUCACAGAGUCCAUAGGGUUGGGGCAGACCUCUUAGAAUGCCAACACAAGCCAUGUCCACUGCCCACAUCCCUCAGUGCCACAUCCCCACGGCUCUGGGACACCCCCAGGGAUGGUGACCCCCCAUUCCAUGGGCAGCUGUGCCACUGCCUGACUGCUCUUUAGAGAAGGAACGCUUCCUAAAACCAACCUGACCCUCCCAUGGAAUAGGAGAAUAGUCCUGGCUUAGCUCCUUUCCAGCAUUUAAAGGAAAGUGAGGGAUCUGAUGCAGCGGUGUUAAGAUGCGUGCUGCUCUACGUGUGAGCUCUUUGCAGCCUGAAAAACAGCUUUCGUGUUCACCAGCUGUGAGCGGGACACUCAGAAACCAUCACAAGCAAGCGAUGAAUAAACUGCAUUGAAAGGCUGUACUGAUGGCCUUGUUAAGCAGCACUGUGUUCUCAUGCCUGGAAAUGAGAAAGUGUCUGAAGAUCUGUGAAAAUGGAGAUCUAUUUUUACACAGUGCACAAAGACGGAGUCACAGCAUCUACGGCCCUGAAAAAAAACCACCCAAGCCAUUUCUGAAGGAACAGAUGUUCACGAUUCAUACACCCUACAGACAAACACAGGAUCUGUGACCAACAGAACCAACGUUACUGACCACUUCUGUCUGUGAUUGUUAACUCAUUCAUACAGGCUUCCAAAUUAAGGAAUUAAUAAGAACUAUUAAUAGGUGGCCUUUGAUUCUUCUGGAUUAACCAGAACUCAGUGUGACAAAGUGCAGCAUCCGCUUGGAGGCUGUGGUUAGUGGCUGCUGGUAGCCCUUCCAUGCCCACAUCAGUGCUGCGGGAUGCAUUGGGUGCUUUGCCUCCAUGGAGGAAUCCAUGACCCUCAAAAUGAAUUCCCAGCCUUUUCGGGUCAACACCGAUCACUCCUUUAAUCCUCAAAGCUAUCUGGGACUCUUAAAAUGCUUUACAAUUUAUUUUGUAACUUGCAUGAUUUUAUUUUAGACGUGACUUUAUGAACAAAAUUUCUGGGCUGCUUGAAAUUCUCGUUUUAUUCCUGGAUGCCCUGUUGAGUAGGGGCACCUUCUGCUGAUGGAGGAGUGAAUUGCAGUAAAUAGAUUUAAAACUCAGGUACUUUGCCCUCUCCCUGGAGAAGCAUGAAGCUCUGAUUCCCCUCUGUGCCAAUUACAGCUUUGUAGCCCCGCUCUGCUGUGACUCUUUCCAGCUUUUCCCUUUCACUGCUGUGCCAUAGCAUUGCUGCUCCUUCUGUCCUCUGUGCACUGACCCCAUUGAGGUGGUCACUAACACUGGAUGCUCUGGCCAGGUGAGUCUGUUCUUAUUAACAACAUUUGUGAAAACAGAUACAAAAAUAAUUAUUAAAUCCUACUGAUCAGAUUAGGCUUUUUCAUUCUAAAAGACCUGAAUCAAGAAUUUGGUCCUAGGGUGGUUGGCUCUCUGAUACAGCAUCUUCCGCUUUCCCAACCUUCUGUUCUCAUUAGCUGAGAGGUUUAUCUCUGUGUGCUGGGGAGAGGCUGCCAUCACAGAUAGGGCCGUGGUUAGCACCCAAUGCCCGAGGUGCCCCAGCCGGUUCUACAGCCACUUAAUGAAAAUGUGGGUAACCCCCAGAUGCUCCUCCCCAGGCACUGCACUGCCCUAUGUACACUUUUCUUCCUGCAAAACCACGGAAUUUAUAAAACCGAUGUUUGUACUGCAGUAACCCUAAAAGACUUGUCCUCCAUUUCCAAGGUGCCGCGUAGGUAAGCAAUCUCCUCUAAAUCCGUGGGUCUGACUUGGCAGCCUCACUGGUGAGCGAACAAAAAUCGUGCCAACAAAGCAACGCGUGGGGAAAUGGAAUCCCAGAGAGGAGCGUACGCGUGGUGGUGCUGGAAACACAGAGGACAGAAACACCCUUGGCCUGGUCCAUGGGCUGCUCGGGAGCGUGCACUCAGCAGGUUGUGUUCCCAUGACAUGCAGGGAGGAAAUGGGAGCAGGAAAUACCGGUGUGUGCAGGGCUGGGGAUGGGGACGGGCUGUGCUGCUCCUCCGUGCCUAACUUAGCGCCGGCGCUUCGGGGGGGAAGAGUCUGCUGUCUGUUUUGAAUGCUUUCUGCAUGACUAAUUAACGUUCUGAAAUAAAUGGUGCUGUUAAACUCUAUGCUGGUACAGGCAGUCGGCAGCCGUGGCUCCUGUCCAAUACUUUAUCUAAUCUUUGCUUUGUUGAGACGGGGCACUGCUUGUCAUCUAAAAGCCACUUAGCUGCACUACAGCGUGAUGUCAUGCUCCUCUACAUGUGUGUCGAUAUUUAUGCCCAGUCUGUUGGGAAACAGCCCUGAAUACAGCGAGCUGUACGUAAUUACAUUCUUUGCAUGAUAACAAAACCCACUUGAAACUGGCAAGAGAUGAAACCCCGCAGCCUGGCGUUCGGAAUUCUGCAGGAGCAGAGCGUUCUGUAACAUUAUGCCGGGAUAAGGCAGCCUGAUUCACCCUGGGGAGGACACUCCCUCCAGAGCAAAGCAUUUGCUGUCGUCCCUCCGGAGCGGCGGCACCAGCACUGGAGCUGCUGAGCCAGGGCAGAGCCGGCGGCAGCGCGGGACGGAGGAGGCUGAGCUCCAAACCCAGGACCAGCAGCAGAGCAAGCAGGAGGAGGAUGAGGAUGCUGCCAGGUCCCCACUAUGCUGAGAGCACAACAGGAGCCCCCUGAAGCACAAGGCAUGGCGCAGAGGUACUGCUCCUGUGUUGUGUGUGAUAUCUGCUUUUCCUUAUUUUGCAUUAUAGUGGAACAGUGAAUGUUUUGUGCCGGUUGGAUGAGCAGGUAGUUACAGUAGUGUGCAUUCCGUGCCCGGCUCGUGCUGCUCUGCACGGCUCAUUUGGAUUUGGCUGGGUGACAAAGGGUGAGUGUGAUUCCCGAGUGUCCAUGAAAAUGUGGUUCUUCACAAACUGAUUUCAAAGUAAAAGCAAAUGCAGUAAUUGUACAGAACUCUGCAAAGGAGA